rnacentral:rRNA from 1 species
UACGGAGGGUGCAAACGUUGCUCGGAAUUAUUGGGCGUAAAGCGCACGUAGGCGGUUCGCUAUGUCGGAUGUGAAAGCCCUCGGCUUAACCGAGGAAGGGCAUCCGAAACUGGCGGGCUUGAGUACGGAAGAGGGUCUCGGAAUUCCCGGUGUAGAGGUGAAAUUCGUAGAUAUCGGGAGGAACACCAGUGGCGAAGGCGGAGACCUGGGCCGAUACUGACGCUGAGGUGCGAAAGCGUGGGGAGCAAACAGG